AAAUCCUGACUAGUAAUGGAAAGGAUGGAUUUAUUACAUACAAAAACCAAUGCAUUAAAUUGUUAAAGAUUCGGGGGGGCUUUAUUGGUGAUUCAUAAUAACUUUACGGAUCGUGCGGCCUUGUGCCGGCGAUAAUUCAUUCAAAUUUCUGCCCUAUCAACUUUCGAUGGUAGUAUAGAGGACUACCAUGGUGGUAACGGGUAACGGAGAAUCAGGGUUUGAUUCCGGAGAAGGAGCCUGAGAAACGGCUACUACUUCUAAGGAAGGCAGCAGGCGCGCAAAUUACCCAAUCCCGACACGGGGAGGUAGUGACAAAAAAUAACAAUAUCGAUAAUUAAUUUUAUUGAUAAUUGGAAUGAGUACAAUCUAAAUCCCUUAACGAGUAACAAUUGGAGGGCAAGUCUGGUGCCAGCAGCCGCGGUAAUUCCAGCUCCAAUAGCAUAUAUUAAAGUUGUUGCAGUUAAAAAGCUCGUAGUUGGAUUUUAAAGUUUUAUUUUUUACACCAUAAUUUUUAAUUAUGUGUUUGUGAUUUAGAUUCUUUACAAUUUUGUCAGAUAUUCAUUGUUGUUCUUAAUUGGAUGAUUCGAAAGGAUAAAAUGCUUAAUAGGUCUGGGAAUUAAGAUGUGGUUUAUUUACGAGGCAACUUGUUGAAUAAAUCUGCUUAAUUAACUUCUAUUAAGUAGAAUUCUAGUUCAUUUACUUUGAGUAAAUUAGAGUGUUCAAAGCAAACAAGCAUUGUUGUUAUGAAUACUAUUAGCAUGAGAUAAUGGAACAGGACAUCGUGUCUAUUUUAUUGGUUUCCAGACGCGAUGUAAUGAUUAAAAGGGAUAGUUGGGGGCAUUAGUAUUUAAUUGUCAGAGGUGAAAUUCUUGGAUUUAUGAAAGACUAACUUCUGCGAAAGCAUUUGUCAAAGAUGUUUUCAUUAAUCAAGAACGAAAGUUAGGGGAUCGAAGACGAUCAGAUACCGUCGUAGUCUUAACCAUAAACUAUGCCGACCAAGUAGUGGAACGCUCUAUUUUUGGGCAUUACUCUCUCAGCACCUUUUUACGAGAAAUCAUAAGUUUUUGGGUUCUGGGGGGAGUAUGGUCGCAAGGCUGAAACUUAAAGGAAUUGACGGAAGGGCACCACCAGGAGUGGAGCCUGCGGCUUAAUUUGACCCAACACGGGAAAACUUACCAGGUCCAGACACAGUUAGGAUUGACAGAUUGAGAGCUCUUUCUUGAUUCUGUGGGUGGUGGUGCAUGGCCGUUCUUAGUUGGUGGAGUGAUUUGUCUGGUUAAUUCCGAUAACGAACGAGACCUCAGCCUGCUAAUUAGUUGUAUUAAUAAUAACGAUUAGAGGGACUUCAUUUUCGGUUAGGAAACUUGUUUUUAUUGAUAUCAGGUGCUGGUCAAACAGUAUUUUUACUUCUUAGAGGGACACUUGGUGUUUAACCAAGGGAAGUUUGAGGCAAUAACAGGUCUGUGAUGCCCUUUAGAUGUUCUGGGCUGCACGCGCGCUACACUGAUACGAUCAACAAGCACAAAAGACCUCAUCCGAAAGGUUUGGGUAAACUUUUGAAAUCGUAUCGUGCUGGGGAUCGAUAAUUGCAAUUAUUUAUCGUGAACGAGGAAUUCCUAGUAGGUGCAAGUCAACAGCUUGCGCCGAUUACGUCCCUGCCCUUUGUACACACCGCCCGUCGCUGCCUCUGAUGGUUGGUCCGGUGAAAUCUUAGGAUUCGAGACAGUCACUUAAACGU
rnacentral:rRNA from 1 species